UACGGGGGGGGCAAGCGUUGUCCGGAAUUACUGGGCGUAAAGGGCUCGUAGGUGGCCAACUAAGUCAGACGUGAAAUCCCUCGGCUUAACCGGGGAACUGCGUCUGAUACUGGAUGGCUUGAGUUCGGGAGAGGGAUGCGGAAUUCCAGGUGUAGCGGUGAAAUGCGUAGAUAUCUGGAGGAACACCGGUGGCGAAGGCGGCAUCCUGGACCGACACUGACACUGAGGAGCGAAAGCCAGGGGAGCAAACGGG
rnacentral:rRNA from 1 species